AAACAACCCAUCCGCUCCAUCUGCGAGCAAGCUCUAGCGAUCUAGCAGCAUGCAGGCCCUAUGACGCUCGCCAUCCUCAUCCGGGAGCGUGGCCAUGCCUCCGCCCGCCUCUUCCCCCACCCCCGGUGCCCCUUCCACACACCCCCCGCACCGCUGUCCUGCCCCUCUCCCCUCGCACACCCACUCCCUUCUACCAUCUCCAUGCUUGGCGCCCUCACCACCUCCCCGACCGCCUCUGAGCUCAUCGCCUUCCCCCAUAGCCCGAACGAGAUAUUUGCGUCCGACCCGCCCAUCGACGUGGACGCCAUCAUGGAGAACGAGCUACGGAAGAAGGACGGCGGUGCGGAUGUGGAACAUCUCAGAUCUGUCACUCUAUCUCCGGCGACCUGGGUCGGGCGAGGCACUUCUUUUAUGUGAUGCCUGAGUGGAACUUGGUAUCCUGGAACAAAAUGUUGGGCGCGUAUGCCUGUGGCAGGAUGCUCACCGAGGCGCGGGACCUGUUCGACGCAAUGCUUGCCAGGAACAGCGCCACCUUCCGAUAAUUAUUAGCUCGCCUCCCCUCCCAUUUUCUCAGUACAAUCUACUCCAUGUUGUUGCUGUAUGAUCAGACAAAAUUCUUCUA